AGUGAACGCUGGCGGUAGGCCUAACACAUGCAAGUCGAACGGCAGCACAGUAAGAGCUUGCUCUUACGGGUGGCGAGUGGCGGACGGGUGAGGAAUACAUCGGAAUCUACUUUUUCGUGGGGGAUAACGUAGGGAAACUUACUCUAAUACCGCAUACGACCUACGGGUGAAAGCAGGGGAUCUUCGGACCUUGCGCGAUUGAAUGAGCCGAUGUCGGAUUAGCUAGUUGGCGGGGUAAAGGCCCACCAAGGCGACGAUCCGUAGCUGGUCUGAGAGGAUGAUCAGCCACACUGGAACUGAGACACGGUCCAGACUCCUACGGGAGGCAGCAGUGGGGAAUAUUGGACAAUGGGCGCAAGCCUGAUCCAGCCAUACCGCGUGGGUGAAGAAGGCCUUCGGGCUGUAAAGCCCUUUUGUUGGGAAAGAAAAGCAGCAGGUUAAUACCCCGCUGUUCUGACGGUACCCAAAGAAUAAGCACCGGCUAACUUCGUG
rnacentral:rRNA from 1 species